ensembl:misc_RNA Metazoa_SRP Metazoan signal recognition particle RNA
ACCGGGCGUCGUGGCAUGUGCCUAUAGCCCCAGCUACUCUGGAGGCUGAGGCUGGAGGAUCACUUGAGUCUAGGAGUUCUGGGCUGUAGUGCGCUAUGCUGAUCGGGUGUCUGCACUAAGUUCGGCAUCAAUAUGGUGACCUCCCGGGAGCGGGAGACCACCAGGUUGCCUAAGGAGGGGUGAACCGGCCCAGGUCGGUUAAAGCAGGUUAAAGUGUUUGCACAGUACAUGGCCCACAGUAAGUGCCCAGGAAGUGUUAGCCAAUAGUACUGUGUUUCAGACAUGAUUGCUGCUUAU